rnacentral:rRNA from 1 species
GUAGGUGGCAAGCGUUGUCCGGAAUUAUUGGGCGUAAAGCGCGCGCAGGCGGGGUCCUUUAAGUCUGAUGUGAAAGCCCACGGGCUCAACCGUGGAGGGUCAUUGGAAACUGGGGGACUUGAGUACAGAAGAGGAAAGCGGAAUUCCAAGUGUAGCGGUGAAAUGCGUAGAGAUUUGGAGGAACACCAGUGGCGAAGGCGGCUUUCUGGUCUGUAACUGACGCUGAGGCGCAAAAGCGUGGGGAGCAAACAGGAUUAGAUACCCUGGUAGUCCACGCCGUAAACGAUGAGUGCUAAGUGUUAGGGGGUUUCCGCCCCUUAGUGCUGCAGCUAACGCAUUAAGCACUCCGCCUGGGGAGUACGGCCGCAAAGGCUG